AAAAAGAAAGCUUGGAUACUGAUUUUUAUUGUUGUUUUGUACCCCUUAAUUUUCCUAAAGGCUGCAUCUCGGGGCAUUUUGGAUGUUCAGUCUGUGGAAGAAAAGAGAAAGAGAAAGGAAAAAAUAGAAAAACAGAUUGCUACAUCUGGACCCCCACCAGAAGGUGGACUUAGAUGGACAGUUUCAUAAAGGAUACUAUGAGUGAAAGUCUACUGCCAAUAACUAAUAUCUGCAAUCAAGUGGACAUCCUCAAUUUAAUUUAUUCUCUUUGAAAAUGAAGAUUUAGACUUUGUAAUUUUAGUGCCAUUAAAUGCAAUGCUUUUUCAGUAUUGAAAUAUUGAAAAUGCUUUUGAUUGUCAGACUUAGAAAAGGCCAGACCUUUCAUUGAAUACCUAUUUUCCUACAUUUGCUGCUUUUGCAAGUAGUGGGUAAUUCUCCAUUUUUAGUAGUUAAAUCUAAAUAGUGAAUAUAUGUACAUCGCAUGGAAAGAUUCUGCAUACAUCUCAAA